CUAUCAUGCAGUCGAGCGGACAGAUGGGAGCUUGCUCCCUGAUGUUAGCGGCGGACGGGUGAGUAACACGUGGGUAACCUGCCUGUAAGACUGGGAUAACUCCGGGAAACCGGGGCUAAUACCGGAUGGUUGUUUGAACCGCAUGGUUCAGACAUAAAAGGUGGCUUCGGCUACCACUUACAGAUGGACCCGCGGCGCAUUAGCUAGUUGGUGAGGUAACGGCUCACCAAGGCGACGAUGCGUAGCCGACCUGAGAGGGUGAUCGGCCACACUGGGACUGAGACACGGCCCAGACUCCUACGGGAGGCAGCAGUAGGGAAUCUUCCGCAAUGGACGAAAGUCUGACGGAGCAACGCCGCGUGAGUGAUGAAGGUUUUCGGAUCGUAAAGCUCUGUUGUUAGGGAAGAACAAGUGCCGUUCAUAUAGGGCGGCACCUUGACGGUACCUAACCAGAAAGCCACGGCUAACUACGUGCCAGCAGCCGCGGUAAUACGUAGGUGGCAAGCGUUGUCCGGAAUUAUUGGGCGUAAAGGGCUCGCAGGCGGUUUCUUAAGUCUGAUGUGAAAGCCCCCGGCUCAACCGGGGAGGGUCAUUGGAAACUGGGGAACUUGAGUGCAGAAGAGGAGAGUGGAAUUUCCACGUGUAGCGGUGAAAUGCGUAGAGAUGUG
rnacentral:rRNA from 1 species